GGCUCACCAAGGCAUCGAUGGGUAUGGGGUCUUAAAGGAUGGUCCCACACACUGGCACUGAGACACGGGCCAGACUCCUACGGGAGGCAGCAGUGAGGAAUAUUGGUCAAUGGGUGAGAGCCUGAACCAGCCAUCCCGCGUGCAGGAUGACGGUCCUAGUGAUUGUAAACUGCUUUUCUAUGAGAUGAAUAAGAAUUACGUGUAGUUCGAUGACCGUAUUAUAGGAAUAAGCAUCGGCUAACUCCGUGCCAGCAGCCGCGGUAAUACGGAGGAUGCAAGCGUUAUCCGGAUUUAUUAGGUUUAAAGGGUGCGUAGGUGGGCGUUUAAGUCAGUGGUUAAAGCCAUUAGCUUAACUAAUGUAUGCCAUUGAUACUGGAUGUCUUGAAUGUGGUAGAGGUAGGCGGAAUGUGUUGUGUAGCGGUGAAAUGCUUAGAUAUAACACAGAACACCGAUUGCGUAGGCAGCUUACUAUUCCAUUAUUGACGCUGAUGCACGAAAGCGUGGGGAUCAAACAGGAUUAGAUACCCUGGUAGUCCACGCUGUAAACUAUGAUCACUCGUUUUUGGCGAUAUAUAGUCAGAGACUGAGCGAAAGC
rnacentral:rRNA from 1 species